rnacentral:tRNA from 1 species
GGAGAGGUGUCCGAGUGGUUGAAGGAGCACGCCUGGAAAGUGUGUAUACGCUAACCCGUAUCGAGGGUUCGAAUCCCUCUCUCUCCGCCA